GACGAACGCUGGCGGCGUGCUUAACACAUGCAAGUCGAACGGAAAGGCCCUGCUUUUGUGGGGUGCUCGAGUUGCGAACGGGUGAGUAACCCGUGAGUAACCUGCCCUUGACUUUGGGAUAACUUCAGGAAACUGGGGCUAAUACCGGAUAGGAGCUCCCGCUGCAUGGUGGGGGUUGGAAAGUUUCGGCGGUUGGGGAUGGACUCGCGGCUUAUCAGCUUGUUGGUUGGGUAGUGGCUUACCAAGGCUUUGACGGGUAGCCGGCCUGAGAGGGGGACAGGCCACAUUGGGAUGGAGAUGCGACCCGGACUAGUACGGGAGGCAGCAGUGGGGAAUAUUGCACAGUGGGAGGAAGCCUGGUGCAGCAACGCCGCGUGGGGGAUGACGGCCUUCGGGUUGUAAACCGCUUUCGCCUGUGACGAAGCGUGAGUGACGGUAAUGGGUAAAGAAGCACCGGCUAACUACGUG
rnacentral:rRNA from 1 species